rnacentral:rRNA from 1 species
UAGGGAAUCUUCGGCAAUGGACGAAAGUCUGACCGAGCAACGCCGCGUGAGUGAAGAAGGUUCUCGGAUCGUAAAACUCUGUUGGUAGAGAAGAACGUUGGUGAGAGUGGAAAGCUCAUCAAGUGACGGUAACUACCCAGAAAGGGACGGCUAACUACGUGCCCG